AGAGUUUGAUCCUGGCUCAGGAUGAACGCUAGCUACAGGCUUAACACAUGCAAGUCGAGGGGCAGCAUGGUCUUAGCUUGCUAAGGCUGAUGGCGACCGGCGCACGGGUGAGUAACACGUAUCCAACCUGCCGUCUACUCUUGGCCAGCCUUCUGAAAGGAAGAUUAAUCCAGGAUGGGAUCAUGAGUUCACAUGUCCGCAUGAUUAAAGGUAUUUUCCGGUAGACGAUGGGGAUGCGUUCCAUUAGAUAGUAGGCGGGGUAACGGCCCACCUAGUCAACGAUGGAUAGGGGUUCUGAGAGGAAGGUCCCCCACAUUGGAACUGAGACACGGUCCAAACUCCUACGGGAGGCAGCAGUGAGGAAUAUUGGUCAAUGGGCGAUGGCCUGAACCAGCCAAGUAGCGUGAAGGAUGACUGCCCUAUGGGUUGUAAACUUCUUUUAUAAAGGAAUAAAGUCGGGUAUGCAUACCCGUUUGCAUGUACUUUAUGAAUAAGGAUCGGCUAACUCCGUGCCAGCAGCCGCGGUAAUACGGAGGAUCCGAGCGUUAUCCGGAUUUAUUGGGUUUAAAGGGAGCGUAGAUGGAUGUUUAAGUCAGUUGUGAAAGUUUGCGGCUCAACCGUAAAAUUGCAGUUGAUACUGGAUGUCUUGAGUGCAGUUGAGGCAGGCGGAAUUCGUGGUGUAGCGGUGAAAUGCUUAGAUAUCACGAAGAACUCCGAUUGCGAAGGCAGCCUGCUGGACUGUAACUGACGCUGAUGCUCGAAAGUGUGGGUAUCAAACAGGAUUAGAUACCCUGGUAGUCCACACAGUAAACGAUGAAUACUCGCUGUUUGCGAUAUACAGUAAGCGGCCAAGCGAAAGCGUUAAGUAUUCCACCUGGGGAGUACGCCGGCAACGGUGAAACUCAAAGGAAUUGACGGGGGCCCGCACAAGCGGAGGAACAUGUGGUUUAA
rnacentral:rRNA from 1 species